rnacentral:lncRNA from 1 species
CCUGGCCUCAAGGGAUCCACCCACCUCGAAUUCCCAAAGUGCUGGGAUCACAGGUGUGAGCCACCGCGGACGACCUAUAAAAACUUUUAUCCCUUUCAUUUUCUCAUAGACUCCCGUUUAAGUUCUUGCUCUGUUUUGGGGGAAAGUGUUUAUUGUUUGAUUUUCUAAUAACGAAAACAUUAGAGUAGCUUCAUUUAUGCUGCCUGUUUCAAGCCAAUACACUGCUCAGUUGUGUUUGUGUAUUUGAAAAGUCCCCUGAUAGGAACUUUCUGAGGGGUGCCUGUGUUGUUGGCACAUUUGAGAACUAGACAAAAUCUAACUCUGUGUCUUUUUUCUUUCUUUUUCCCCUAUUAUUUGGUUUUGUUUUUUUAACAACCCCUCUGGAGUGUGUUUUGGUUCAUGGGAUCAGGCCACGUGCCCUGGUUUUCGAGGUAUAGCCUUGGCUUUCUUGGGUCGGGUCUAAUAACCCUGACCUUGGACUUCCCACGUGUCCUUCAAAGAAAGCAAUUAUUUUUGCCUAUUUUCUGAGUAUGAUGGUAUUCUCCAUUUGAUUUAACAAAAAAAUUCUUCCUCUGCUUUAAAAGACUGAAAGCCUCCCUGUAAGGUGCUGAUUGCCUUCCAGAUCUGAGGACCCCGUCUCUGCCUCAUUCCUCCUGUUUCCAUCAGAAGACACAGGUCUGGGACUCAGCGCAGCUGACCUGUCUGUCCCUCUCUGCACAGUUUACUCCUGGGCUCUGCAGAGAGAAGUCAGUGCCUCAAUUUUCCAUUGAAAUAUGCACCCUUGGCAUCCUGGCAGGAGUGGCAGCCACAGCAAAACAUCUUCUGCAGCGUCUGGCCAGGGCGUUACUCCAGCCCAGUUUUGCCCUGGACUAGAUUGAGUCAGGUCGUGCAUGGAACGCAAGCACAAACCACGGUCAGCUCCUCGAGACUGACCCACUGGCCCACUGAGCAGAGGAGCCCCUGGGUCUCUGGACGCUGCCCAGUUGUUGACAUCCUGAGGCAGGUUUGCGGCUGAUGGAGCAACAGGGACGGGCUGGGCCCGGCACCUUUUUCACGGAAAUGAUGAGCUCUGGACAGCAGUGAUGCCAGGGCCCAUAAAGCCUCAGGCGCCCGUCAUUGCUGCUGCCUGCGUGUGCUCGCUCACCGCGACGGCGGCGGGCUGGAGGAAGCUGUGCAAGAGCCAAGUGUCUACCAUGAGUCUGCAUGUUCAUAUGGUUCAGAUUUGCCUUGGAAUCCCCGCGAGCCAAACUCUUUCAUUUCACUUAGUAAAAGGGAUGCAUUGACUCAGAUGUUCUGUCCUAUUUAAAUGAGAGGGGCGCGGGAGGUGAUGGAACACAAAACCAUGAGCCAUGGCUUUGCUGGGGAAUGCUGUGGAUCUGGUGUGUGAUAGAGAGAGAGUGUGUGUGCGUGUGUGUGUGUGUAUGGCAAAGUGCACAAAUCGCACGUGUACACCUCAGUGGCUUUUUACACAUUUAGACGUGUGUAAGUGUAUAGAGCAUUUCCACACCCCAGAGGCCCCGAGCUCACUCCCUCCCGCUCUCCCCAUCCCUGACGCUAACCUGAUGCCUGUUGUCGUACAUCAGCUUCUCAACCUCGGCACUAUUGAUUGCCAUUUGGGGCCAAUAAUUCUAGGGGGUGGUGGCUGUGGUGGGCACUGUAGGAUGUUUCCUGUGUCCCUGGCCCUGACCUACUAGAUACUAGAUGCACCCACCCUCUCCAUCGUGACAACCAAACGUCUCCAGACAUUGCUAAAUACACCCUGGGGACACAGUCACCCUGGCUGAGAACCAGAGCGUGGGUCACUGUGACUUCCGCGCUUCCUCUCCAUGGCAUCGCACGGUGCCAUGUGUCCUGCCCUCCGUGUUCUUCUCUCUACGCUGCUUCUCUGAAAUCCCUCCAGCGGUGGCGGGUGCCAGGAGUUAGUUUUGCUUUCUCACUUUGGAGUAAUGUUGCAUUUUAUGGAUGUGCCACGAUGUGCUUGUCUGUUCCACUGCGGAUGGCAUCUCUUGUUGCAGUUGGGGCUGUUAAGAGUGUUCUCAGUGUGCCUUGUGGAGGGCUUGUGUCCUUUCUCUUGGGUGCAUCCUCCUGAGUAGGACUGCAGGGUCCCAGGCAGGCGCCUAUUAGCAGGAGUGGCCACCAUUGCACAGUGCUCCCAAUUCCAUUCCCACAGGCCACCUGAGAGUCAGGGAGCUUCUGUCACAAUUUUAAGUGCUGCAGGAUUAAUGCAAACUUUCUGAUGUGCUUCAAGUUGCUUUGUGUUGAAAUGGACUAGAGGGGAUUUAAGCUCACAGACAUAUAUCCAGAGCAUGCCCACUUUGAUAAUGCUAUCUUCACUAAUAAAUUAUUCUCAAAACAGCAGGUACUUGCAGUUCUGAACUAGAUAAAGCCCUUUCCUUUCCAUCUACUCACUGAGUCAUCAGGUGCCUGGCUGACAGCUGACGCUAAGUCUUCACAAUUAACCAAGUCUCUGGGCGCCCCUCAGGCUUUAACAUGAGGACACAUGGCAGAUUAAUCACGAAGCCCCACCUCUCAUUUCAGCUGCCAUGAAUGGCAAUUCCCAAAAUGCAGGGGGAGAAAAAGACUGGAAGGAAAUGUCGUGGUCUAAAA